UCCUCUAAAGAGCCGUUCGAGACUAGGACGUUGAUAGGUUGGAUGUGGAAGCAUAGUGAUAUGUGAAGCUGACCAAUACUAAUUGCUCGUGAGGCUUGACUAUACAACACCCAAGCAGUUG
rnacentral:rRNA from 2 species